GACGAACGCUGGCGGCGUGCUUAACACAUGCAAGUCGAACGGAAAGGCCCUGCUUUUGUGGGGUGCUCGAGUGGCGAACGGGUGAGUAACACGUGAGUAACCUGCCCUUGACUUUGGGAUAACUUCAGGAAACUGGGGCUAAUACCGGAUAGGAGCUCCUGCUGCAUGGUGGGGGUUGGAAAGUUUCGGCGGUUGGGGAUGGACUCGCGGCUUAUCAGCUUGGUGGUGGGGUAGUGGCUUACCAAGGCUUUGACGGGUAGCCGGCCUGAGAGGGUGACCGGCCACAUUGGGACUGAGAUACGGCCCAGACUCCUACGGGAGGCAGCAGUGGGGAAUAGUGCACGAUGGGCGGAAGCCUGAUGCAGCAACGCCGCGUGCGGGAUGACGGCCUUCGGGUUGUAAACCGCUUUCGCCUGUGACGAAGCGUGAGUGACGGUAAUGGGUAAAGAAGCACCGGCUAACUACGUG
rnacentral:rRNA from 1 species